rnacentral:rRNA from 1 species
UACGUAGGUGGCAAGCGUUGUCCGGAUUUACUGGGCGUAAAGGGCGUGCAGGCGGUUUGUUAAGUGCAGGGUGAAAGCUCCCGGCUCAACUGGGAGAGGUCCUUGCAUACUGGCGAACUCGAGGGAGGCAGAGGAAAGUGGAAUUCCCGGUGUAGUGGUGAUAUGCGUAGAUAUCAGGAGGAACACCCAUGGCGAAGGCAGCAAACUGGUCCGUAUCUGACGCUGAGGCGCGAAAGCGUGGGUAGCAAACAGG